rnacentral:rRNA from 1 species
CCUACGGGGGGCUGCAGUGGGGAAUAUUGCACAAUGGGCGCAAGCCUGAUGCAGCCAUGCCGCGUGUGUGAAGAAGGCCUUCGGGUUGUAAAGCACUUUCAGCGGGGAGGAAGUCUUUUAUUUUAAUAACCUCAUCGAUUGACGUUACCCGCAGAAGAAGCACCGGCUAACUCCGUGCCAGCAGCCGCGGUAAUACGGAGGGUGCAAUCUGUAAUCGGAAUUACUGGGCGUAAAGCGCACGCAGGCGGUCUGUCAAGUCGGAUGUGAAAUCCCCGGGCUCAACCUGGGAACUGCAUUCGAAACUGGCAGGCUAGAGUCUUGUAGAGGGGGGUAGAAUUCCAGGUGUAGCGGUGAAAUGCGUAGAGAUCUGGAGGAAUACCGGUGGCGAAGGCGGCCCCCUGGACAAAGACUGACGCUCAGGUGCGAAAGCGUGGGGAGCAAACCGGAUUAGAUACCCCGGUAGUA